CUUUGGUGGUGGGGGAGUAGCCGGGCUACGCCCGGGUAAUACCGCAUACGGUUGCCGAGGGGAGUCCCUUGGCAAAGAAACCUCCGGGGCACAGAGAGGGGCUCGCGGCCUAUCAGCUAGUUGGUGAGGUAACGGCUCACCAAGGCGUCGACGGGUAGCUGGUCUGAGAGGAUGGCCAGCCACAUUGGGACUGAGAUACGGCCCAG
rnacentral:rRNA from 1 species